rnacentral:rRNA from 1 species
AUUGAACGCUGGCGGCAUGCCUUACACAUGCAAGUCGAACGGCAGCACGGGAGCAAUCCUGGUGGCGAGUGGCGAACGGGUGAGUAAUACAUCGGAACGUGCCCAGUAGUGGGGGAUAACCCGGCGAAAGCCGGACUAAUACCGCAUACGACCUACGGGUGAAAGCAGGGGAUCGCAAGACCUUGCGCUAUCGGAGCGGCCGAUGUCAGAUUAGCUUGNGGCGGGUAAAAGCCCACCAAGGCGACGAUCUGUAGCUGGUCUGAGAGGACGACCAGCCACACUGGGACUGAGACACGGCCCAGACUCCUACGGGAGGCAGCAGUGGGGAAUUUUGGACAAUGGGCGCAAGCCUGAUCCAGCCAUGCCG